GAUGAAGAACGUAGCGAAAUGCGAUAAGUAAUGUGAAUUGCAGAAUUCAGUGAAUCAUCGAAUCUUUGAACGCACCUUGCGCCCUUUGGCCAUUCCGAAGGGCAUGCCUGUUUGAGUAUCAUGAACACCUCAACUCUUUAUGGUUUUCCAUGAUGAGCUUGGACUCUGGGGGUUUUGCUGGCUCACAGUCGGCUCCUCUAAAAUGAAUCAGCUUACCAGUGUUUGGUGGGUAUCAUGGGUGUGAUAACUAUCUACUCUUGUGGUUUUUCCACCAGGUAACCUUCAGCAGUGGAGGUUCGCUGGAGCUCAUAGAUGUCUCUCCUCAGUGAGGACAGCCCUUUGAAUGUUUGAUCUCAAAUCAGGUAGGACUACCCGCUGAACUUAAGCAUAUCAAUAAGCGGAGGA
rnacentral:misc_RNA from 1 species